GUGGGACAUGGAGGGAUCAUUGGGUGGGGUAGAGGUUUUGUAUUGAGGGCCAGUGAUGAUGUUUGGAUAUUUAUUUCCUGCUACUGAAAUUUGAAUCUGAAUGAAUUGUCCCUAUUUCUGAUGAUGUCAAUUAUUGCAAAGCCACAGAUUCAUAAAGUAAUGAUCAAUUCUUCCUUUCUUUUCAUGUGUAUUUCUAAGAAAUAGAGCCAACUGAUUUUGUAAUAUAAAUUCCAAGAGCAAUUUACCUGGUACUAAACCCGCACCCCAGUGCGGCCCCUUUCCCCACCCUCACCCCACUUCCUCCUGUUCCCAAACCUGUCUCCAUUGUGUGAUCCAGCUCUGGUUCUGGCUGUGGUCAACAGAUCCCAGUGAAGGGUUUUGUGUGUUUGGGCCUCAUUUCUUUGUCUUUUUCCCACUCUGUUCUGGCAUUUGCUGAUCUCUGGUGUAUACUCUGUAGUAUCGGUCUGUGUUUGAUUCCAUUCCAUGGAAAUAAAAAGUAUAUUGUACCUACUGCGGAAGAAUUGUCUUGCAAGUUAAGGCUUCCCCCUUUACUAUAAGACUAUAAAUAAAAACUUAUUUUAUCCUUAAAAAAAAAAAUACCAGAACCUCUGGGACACUAUGAAGAUGGUUCUGAGAGGAACAUUUAUAGCUAUAAAAGCCUACAUAGGAAAAUCCCAACCAAACUAAUGAUGCAUCUCAAGGCCCUUAAAAAACAAGGAACAAAUAAAUUUCAAAACCAGUAGAAGGAAGGAAAUAAUUCAGAGCAGAGGGAAAAAAAAAUUACAAAGGGUCAGUGAAAUGAAGAGAUGGUUUUUUAAAAAGAAACAAGAUUUGGUAUUUUCUUAGCAAAACUAACCAGAAGAAAGAGAAAAACCCAAAUAAAUAUUAGAGAUGAAGAAGGAAAUUUUGCCACAGCCAUCUCAGAAAUCCAGAGGAUCAUUAGGGACUGUUUCGAAAACUUCUACUCAAGUAGAUUUGAAAACCUAGAAGAAAGUGACAUUUCUAGAUACAUAUGUCCUGCCAAAAUUGAAUCAAAAGGACACAGGAAAACAGUCCAAUAACUAGCAAUGAGAUAGAAGCCAUAAUGAAAAGAAGCCAUGAUGAAAAGCCUUCCAGCAAAGUAAAAAGCCCACGACCAAAUGGAUUCUCAGCUGGAUUCUACCAAACUUUUAAAGAACUAAUUGUCAGACCAGGCGGGGCAGGCAGCAACCAAAGGAGGCAGAUUUAAAAGGGCUGCUGAACAGGCUUUAUUGAGAUAUCACUCCCGGGCGGAACUCGAUCAGACCCACAGAGGGGACAGGGGAAGGGUCUGAGGAGAAACCGCGUGGAAGCUCCACCGGACUGGACUUCUAAGGGGCUUACAGCAGGAAGGGAAGGGCUUGGGACA
rnacentral:lncRNA from 1 species